rnacentral:rRNA from 1 species
GACGAACGCUGGCGGCGUGCCUAAUACAUGCAAGUCGAACGCAGUGGGGACGGGUGAGUAACACCUGGGUAACCUCCCAUCAGAGGGGAUAACACUUGGAAACAGGUGCUAAACUGAUACUGAAGGAGGGACCCGGGGUGCCUUAGCUAGUUGUGGAGGUAACGGCUCACCAGGGCCACGAUGCAUAGCCGACCUGAGAGGGUGAUAGGCCACACGGGGACUGAGACACGGCCCAGACUCCUACGGGAGGCAGCAGUAGGGAAGCUUCGGCAAUGGACGAAAGUCUGACCGAGCAACGCCGCGUGAGUGAAGAAGGUUUUCGGAUCGUAAAGCUCUGUUGUUAGAGAAGCGGUAUCUAACCAGGAAGCCACGGCUAACUACGUGCCAGCCGCCGCGGUAAUAC